rnacentral:rRNA from 1 species
GACAGAGGGUGCAACCGUUGUUCGGAAUUACUGGGCGUAAAGCGCGUGUAGGCGGUCCGAAAAGUCAGGUGUGAAAGCCCUGGGCUCAACCCAGGAAGUGCACUUGAAACUGCCGGGCUAGAGUACUGGAGAGGUUGGUGGAAUUCUCGGUGUAGAGGUGAAAUUCGUAGAUAUCGAGAGGAACACCGGUGGCGAAGGCGGCCAACUGGACAGAUACUGACGCUGAGACUCGAAAGCGUGAGGAGCAAACAGG